AUUGAACGCUGGCGGCAUGCCUUACACAUGCAAGUCGAACGGCAGCACGGGUGCUUGCACCUGGUGGCGAGUGGCGAACGGGUGAGUAAUAUAUCGGAACGUACCUUAUCGUGGGGGAUAACGCAGCGAACGCUGUGCUAAUACCGCAUAAGCCCUAAGGGGGAAAGCAGGGGAACGUACGGCCUUGCGCGACUAGAGCGGCCAAUACCUGAUUAGCUAGUUGGUGAGGUAAAGGCUAACCAAGGCAACGAUCAGUAGAUGGUCUGAGAGGACGAUCAGCCACACUGGGACUGAGACACGGCCCAGACUCCUACGGGAGGCAGCAGUGGGGAAUUUUGGAAAAUGGGGGAAACCCUGAUCCAGCAAUGCCGCGUGAGUGAAGAAGGCCUUCGGGUUGUAAAGCUCUUUUGUCAGGGAAGAAACAGCAGCUCUAAUACAGUAUGCGAAUGACGGUACCUGAAGAAUAAGCACCGGCUAACUACGUGCCAGCCGCCGCCGUAA
rnacentral:rRNA from 1 species